CAAAGCUUCUGCUCCGGGGACCGCCUCGGGGAGCGUGGGAACCUAGUGUAGGGGCGCUUAUCCUGUGGGGGCGGAGUGUUGCGUGUGUGUGCGUGGGGGUCGGGGGCGUUUCCGGCAAGUUAAACGCCUGCUAGACUUUGAGCGGAAGCUGAGGGAGACUGGCAACGCUUGAGGCUGAAUCCUGCCGUCUCUUUCACCUGCUGCUCUUGAGCAGUUAGCAAUCAAAUUCGUGAAAAGAGUGAAUCCAGAAAUAGAGAAGACAUGAAAGAGGAUGAAGAAAUGAAAAUACAUCUAAAGCAUUCAGAAAUCACCAGGAUACAGGCUGAAUCAUACUUCAGGCCCAGGGAAGUGGAAGUCAUUUUAAUCUUGCACCAGUUAAAGACCUCCGAAAAGGCCAUCUGAAGACGUGUCUGCUGCUCUUACUGAUGGGGCUCAUCAUUCCAACGAUUUCCCAAGGAUAUGAGGGACUUGGCCUGAUUCACAGGUGGCAGUUCCAGAAUGGAGAGCCAUGGCUCCAUGAGGAAAAUAGCUGUCCUGUGUCCAGCACAUCACAAACCCUUCACAGAAGAAGGCAAAAGCAAGUCAGCAGCCCGGUGGGCUGAGCUACAGUCCCUAUUCCUGGCAGUAAGAGAACUGGACACAAGUAAAAUCCCCGCAAUUACGUGCUUAUUGAAUCUUGAAUAGUUGCUUAUGGACUUGCCAUUUGGUCUGAUUUGAUCGCUAUCAACUUCAACUGGUCUACCCAACCAUGGAACAUAAUCCAGGGAGAAAUCUCCAGCAUAAAACUUCACAAGCCACUUAUGAUGUGUUCAAUCAGUCACAGCACCUUCUCCAUACACUGCACAAAUCUUUUUUUGCAUUUCAGUUGUGUUUUUACCUUUCUUGAAAUAAUAAAGCACAAUAGGCGUGAAAA